rnacentral:rRNA from 1 species
CUAAGAAUCUUCCGCAAUGGACGAAAGUCUGACGGAGCGACGCCGCGUGGGCGAAGAAGGCCGUGAGGUUGUAAAGCCCUUUUCUACUUGAGGAAUAAGUCCCAGAGGGAAUGCUGGGAUGAUGACGGUAGGGUAGGAAUAAGCCCCGGCUAAUUACGUGCCAGCAGCCGCGGUAACACGUAUGGGGCGAGCGUUGUUCGGAAUUAUUGGGCGUAAAGGGCGCGUAGGCGGACGUGCAAGUCUGGUGUGAAAGACCGCAGCUCAACUGCGGGCACGCGCUGGAAACUGUAUGUCUUGAAUCCUUGAGGGGGAACUGGAAUUCCUGGUGUAGGGGUGAAAUCUGUAGAUAUCAGGAAGAACACCGGUGGCGAAGGCGAGUUCCUGGCAAGUGAUUGACGCUGAGGCGCGAAAGCGUGGGGAGCGAACAGGAUUAGAUACCCCCGUAGUCC